rnacentral:snRNA from 1 species
AUGCUUGCUUUGGCAGCAUUUGUACUAAAAUUGGAACAAUAGCAUGGCCCCUGUGCCAGGAUGAUACGCAAAUUCAUGAAGCAUUCCAUAUUAAU